UGACCUCAAAUCGGGUGAGACUACCCGCUGAACUUAAGCAUAUCAAUAAGCGGAGGA
rnacentral:rRNA from 21 species